rnacentral:lncRNA from 10 species
GGUUUUCUGAGGGAGUUGGAAAGAGAUAAGAGAGAGACCUUGGGGAACAAUUUUAAAGUGGCUCAAUAGCGAUCGCAGAGCCAAACUCAUACCUACAUCAAUGUGGUGCAGAGAAUCUCUAAGAAUUUUUAAUGCUGAAUUGGAGCAAAGAAACUUCAAGGAGGAAGCAAAGUGAAGAACACAGAUUUCACAGAUGGGAUGCCUGGCUCAAAUUCCAGCUUGACCGCUGGUAGCUGUGUGACCCUCGGCAAGUUACUUGACCUCUCUCUACUCAGUGUCCUCAUCUGUCAGUGUAAUAUGAAUCAGAAAACAUGAACUCAGACUGAUGCUGGAAGCCACCUUAUGACUAUAAGCAGAAUCAGCCUCGUUAUGACGUUGAUGCUAUAAGCAACGGACUGAAAGAUACAAAGAGCAAGCAGACAGGAUGGAAGCUAGACCAAGAAUGAAGUUAAUGCAUGGAUUAGGGAGAAACAAAGUGAAACUUAGCAAAACUGAUCCAGGACCCUGAUGACACGUGAAUGGAUCUGAUUCACGAUUUUGGUAUCUGACUGAUGCUGUCUUCGUGGAAUGAGUUAGGAAAGAGUCCCUCCUCGUCAACUGUUGGGAAUACAUUCAGCAGGGUUGGUAUCAUUGCAUGUCUGGCAGAAUUUGACUAGGAAUCCAUCUGGUCCAGGAUUUUUUUUGUUGGUGUAAUGAGAUUCACUGAAGAAUUCUCAGAGUGGAAUGAGCAACAGAUUUUCAUUAGCGAAAGCUCCUCUAGCUGCUGCAUGAAAUGAUGUCUAGACAGAGAAAUGCGUAAAUGGCGACAGUAGAGCCAGCCUUCAUGAAUCCAGAAAUGUGAGCCACAUUUUGAGGAUAGCAGAGUCACUGCAGAAGCCUGGAUCCUUGCAUAACCUUGUCGAGUGGGAAAAUCUACCCAUACUUGACCAACCACCUAACUGGGGGCUCUACAUCUGAGAGAAAUGAUUUUUUAUCUUAUUUAAGCCACUGUAGUUAGGAGUCAGUUUAUUACAGGACAUUGCCUGGUGUUCCAACAAAUAAACUACCUUAUUUGUUUCAAUAAAUAAAGUGGCUUUUAUUUACUAUUUUGGGGAUGGCUAAAAAAUUAUCAAACUAGGUAGAACUAAACUAAAGUUUCAGAUGAAAGAAGAUCUUCAUAAGCAACAUCACCAUCUUGUCACAGCAGCCAAAUGGUGGCAUGUCAUUUCUUCCAGGAAAGUAUAUAUACUCUGAAUGUAUCAUGUUUCAGCAUUGCUC